GUUCACCUCUCCAGCGGCAGAUCGUUACGUACUCCCAUGUGGUAACUUGGCUCCGUAUCCCGGCCGUGUGGUCUAGCUAACUGUUGUCUCUGUGGGUCAGUGUGGGGAGGAGGCAGAGUUCGGGCCGGCUGCUUUGUGGGGGUUUUGUUUUUUAAAAAGCCUGCUGACAUCCCUCUUCAUUCUGGAGAGUGUCGUCACUGGGGAGGGGGGCGUGGGAGGAAAGGGUUAUACAAAGGCAUGAGCCCCUUAUGGACUGGGAGAGAGAGGAAUGGGGGUCUUGGCUUGGUUGGUGGACCUUUCGGUGAUGGAGUCAGGACUGUCGCAUUGUCUAUCAAAUCUACAGGAGAACUCAAUCUGCCAGUCGGAGUGAAGGACCAAUGAAGCAAUGGAUCAUCCAAACAACACUUACACAACUGAAGCUGUCAUGCAUCUGUCAUGUGUCUUGUCAUAAUUUCUUGGUUUCAUUGAUUGUACCAGAAGUUAUUAUUAUUUAUUUUAGAUACAGUACUUGAGUUACUUUUGUCAUUUUAAUGAAGCUCAAUUCACAACAAUUCCCCAAAUACAAUCAUGUUUUGUUUCUGAAGUUCUUAAAGAACAGCACAAUGAACACUGUGUUCCAGAUGUUGUGUCAUCAUGUCAGAGGGAUUACUCACACCGGAAAGACUUGAACCAUGUUGUGUUGUCGCAACACUUUACAGUUAUAGUUCCUUAAUUAUCGGCUCAAUCUCUAAUCCCGGAGGCAAGAAGGUCUGGAGACAUGGUUUUGCUGAGUAAUAAUCUGGUUUAUUAUCUACGUCUCUCACUGCCUUCAAAACCUGUAUUUUGCCUCUCUGUAAAAGUGUUGGUCCCCAUUCCUAAAUGAUCAUCAUCGUGUCCCCAGUGAAGGACGAAUGAAGCAAUGGAUCAUCCAAACAACACUUACACAACUGAAGCUGUCAUGCAUCUUGUGUCUUUUUCUCGGUUCUCGGUUUGAUUGAUAUUACCAGAGUUUAUUAGUAUUUAUUUAGAUGUCAAACCCUGUGAUUGCAAAAGUUUCCAGUGAUUUUCCAAUUUUCUUUGGUCUAGGUUUUUAAUACAAAUUUGGAGAAUUUGAAGCACAAAAAUCAACAGGAUUCAUUCUUUUGGAAUCAUGAAUGUUGUGGAAUAUUUUGCACAGACAAUCGGUGAAUAAGAAUAAGGCUCCGAGUCAAAUAUGUCUUUCUCCGUUUAUUUCCUCGCAAGGGAAAAAAGGUCAAAACAGCUACGUGCUCAGUAGACUGCAAAGAACCUUUCUCCUCUCACAUUAGGGCCAGGCGGUUCUUAUACCUACAGGUGGCCUUCAAACCAACUCGUUGUGUCUCUACAGCCAGGAGACGGGCAUCUUGUCAGUGUGAGACACCCAGCUCAAUUCUUUUUCACGUCCAGACCAGCCCAGCCCUUUAUUACCUUGGUCGUACAAGGAAACAUUUAGAAGGGUAAGUUACAUGUUUUGCCAUUACAUGAACCUAUGUACAGAAUUACAUUUCAAUCCAUCAAUUGUUGAACCCAUCAAGUGAAAGUACAAUAUUUUAAACAAGGUGUAGUACUAACAUAAUAUAAGUGACUCAUGCGAAACUUAAACUCUUUCUUACAGUACUUGAGUUACUUUUGUCCUUUGAAUGAAGCUCAAUUCACAACAAUUCCCAAAU
ensembl:lncRNA